UGGAAGAAAAAGAAUUGCACUGGAAUUAUUUUUAAUGGGUCCAGACAAUUGGAAGCAUGAUCAUGGCGAACAUACUACGAGAGGAACUCAGUCAAGAUUAUUCAAAAUUAAACCAAGUCAGUUUAAGUCCAUUGGUUUUGAGUAGUCUACAUGAUUAUAGUUAUCAAAUCAUUAUAAGUUCUAGAAUGACUCCCCACCCACAAAUUAGUGAUAGCCCAC
rnacentral:lncRNA from 1 species